AAGAGACUUAAAAAGAAGCCGCUAACUAUCUUUAAGACAUUAAAAUGUUAUUCUCUUA
rnacentral:tRNA from 1 species